ACUCACUUCAAGAUGAGUCUUCCCGUCACGUAAGUGACUAAGACCCGUCGUAGACUACGACGUUGAUAGGUUGGAUGUGUAAGUGCAGCAAUGUAUUUAGCAAACCAGCACUAAUCGGUCGAGUGGCUUCAUUAA
rnacentral:rRNA from 1 species